rnacentral:ribozyme from 14 species
UUUUCAUCUCUUUUUUUUUUUUUUUUUUUUUUUUGUUGUUGUUGUUGUUUUGUUUUU